rnacentral:rRNA from 1 species
UGGGGAAUAUUGCACAAUGGGCGCAAGCCUGAUGCAGCCAUGCCGCGUGUAUGAAGAAGGCCUUCGGGUUGUAAAGUACUUUCAGUCGGGAGGAAGGUGGUAAGGUUAAUAACCUUAUCAAUUGACGUUACCGACAGAAGAAGCACCGGCUAACUCCGUGCCAGCAGCCGCGGUAAUACGGAGGGUGCAAGCGUUAAUCGGAAUUACUGGGCGUAAAGCGCACGCAGGCGGUUGAUUGAGUCAGAUGUAAAAUCCCCGGGCUUAACCCGGGAAUUGCAUCUGAUACUGGUCAGGUAGAGUCUUGUAGAGGGGGGUAGUAUUCCAUGUGUAGCGGUGAAAUGCGUAGAGAUGUGGAGGAACACCAGUGGCGAAGGCGGCUCUCUGGUCUGUAACUGACGCUGAGGCUCGAAAGCGUGGGGAGCAAACAGG